AGAUCUGACACAACCAUCUGAAAGGAAACAUGCCUCCCAAGUUUGUAAGUACUAGAUUCCUUCAUCCUUAAUUACCUACUAACUCUGGCGAUUAACUUAGCGUUAACAUUAUCUAUAAUAAGAUAAAUGGAGAUGUGAAGAGUUUUUGUGUGUCUGUAUGCUUAAUAUGCGCAUGUUUAAUUAGGAAAUUCACGUGUAAUGUCAUGUAAUACCGGUAAUCUUUCGUGACUUUAAGAAGGCAGUUUCAGAUAUUUUCUAUUAAUCAAUAUAUGUAUUUUUUCUAAUUAUUCAUUAACGGUAUAUAAUACAUCAAUCUUCUUUCAACCAAAUGAAGCAAACUUGCGUCAAAAUAAAUAUUUGGAGUGAAAUGAAAAGCUAAUCACAAAUUAUGUUAAUGUUCAAACCACUGAUUUCAUUAAGCUUAUUUAGCCAUGUUAGUGUGUGUGAGAGAGCAGAUAAACAUAUCGAUGUUUCCCUUUCUCUCUCCCCCGGCUAACGCCCUGACGAUGUGUGUAAAUACAAUUAACUGUCUGCCAAUACCCUCCAUUAUCGCUAGAAACUUAAGCUUCCCCCUAGUGUGUCGAAAGACAAGCUUUAUGUACGCGCCUAUAACUAACUACUUCAGAAUUAUUACAAUUUUGGGGUAGAAUGUUGACUUGGAAUAUAUAAAAUGCUCGGGUUCAGUCACUUUAAUAAUGUGUUGCGUUCGUUGACACAUUCCCCUUUAUAAUUGGCAUUUACAAGAUAUAUGUGUAUUGUACAUGUAAGAAAUCCAUCCUUUGAUGUUGAUUUCAUGGAUCAGAAAAUCCCAUUAUGCUUCACUUGACUUGUAUGAAACCGUGAUGGAAUACUGUUAACAAAGAGUUUCUUGCACGUGAAACUUGAGGUCAAUGAGAGAGAGAGAGAGAGAGAGAGAGAGAGAUGGGGUAAAGACAACACUCAUGUUCACUGUGUUCUACCGAGACGGGGGGGGGGGGGGGGGUUGUAGUAGAAUAAUGUCUAUUUUUUGGUACGAAAAAUAUCUCUUUCAAGCACGUAAAAUUUGUACACACCGUCUGAUUUUGGCUGCUUUCUCCUUUUGACUACCAGGGUGGCGGAGAGAAGUGCGGCAUCUGUAGUAAAUCGGUGUACGCUGCCGAGAGGAUAGAGGCGGGGGGCACACCCUUCCACAAGCUGUGCUUCAAGUGUUCAGAAUGUAAAAUGAGUCUCAAGUAAGUAUUAUAUUUCAUUAAUAUAAUGAUAUUUAGUACCUUCAGAUACAAUUAGUCUACCUUAAGUAACGCCCAAGAACAAUGCAUACCUUCGAUCCCCUCCUAUUGUUUUUUUUUAUGAAAUUGAAGAGAAAACCAACCCCAAUUUGUUUUUAAACAAUUUUAGUGUCAUGACUCAAGAUAACCUGGAAUAGCUACACCUAACAGGCUGCGAUUCUGCCAGACAGAAAUUAAAUGCUUGGCUUUUGCGAAUUAUGCAGUCGGAUCAUGAUUUUAAACAUAUGCUAUACAACUGAUUUUUUUUCUUUAAAUCAUGUCGACUUCUAAAAAUAUUCCCCCCAAGUGCUGUUUUCUUGUAUCCGAAUCGUGGAAAAACAAAUCCAUAUCACUUGUAGAAAUUCUACACCGCCUACGCAACAUAGAGCUCUACGAAACACGUGCAUUAUUUUUGUGUUUUUCAGUAAAUAAAAAAAAUAUUUCGUUUCAGGUUAAACACGUAUGCACAGGCCGAUGGCAUUCUGUACUGCAAGAAGCACUACCAGGAGAUAGUGGUUGCCAAGAACACACAGACUCCCGUCUUAUAGCCGAGCAGCCCAGGGAGAGUGUGUGUCAGUGAUCUUUGUAGCUCUUUGAUAUAAAACUAAAAUGGUUGUAAUUUGUCCCGUAUGUCGGUGCUAGUUCAUCUAUCUAUACAUUAUGUACACAAGAUCUGAUUAUUUCCGUUGAAUAAAAUUAUUAGUUUUUUU
rnacentral:misc_RNA from 1 species